AUUGAACGCUGGCGGCACGCUUAACACAUGCAAGUCGAGCGGUAACAUGGUUUGUAGCAAUACAAACUGAUGACGAGCGGCGGACGGGUGAGUAACACGUAGGAACUUGCCAAUAGAGGGGGACAACCAAGGGAAACUUUGGCUAAUACCGCAUAUACUCGAGAGAGGAAAGCUGCCGCAAGGUGGCGCUAUUGGAGAGGCCUGCGUCUGAUUAGCUAGUUGGUGAGGUAAAGGCUCACCAAGGCGAUGAUCAGUAACUGGUCUGAGAGGACGACCAGGCACACUGGGACUGGGACACGGCCCAGACUCCUACGGGAGGCAGCAGUGGGGAAUAUUGGACAAUGGGCGGAAGCCUGAUCUAGCCAUGCCGCGUGUGUGAAGAAGGCCUUUUGGUUGUAAAGCACUUUAAGCGAGGAGGAGGCUACUUAGAUUAAUACUCUGGGAUAGUGGACGUUACUCGCAGAAUAAGCACCGGCUAACUCUGUGCCAGCCGCCGCCGUAA
rnacentral:rRNA from 1 species